rfam:Tilletia walkeri strain DAOM 236422 scaffold_8, whole genome shotgun sequence.
ACCUCGUCUAGCCUUUUGGCUUUGAUCAAGUGUAGUAUCUGUUCUGACAAAGUUGAUGCUUUGUCUUACUCCAUUGGAGUAAUCAUGCAUCUCAACGAUCUUUCGCCACCCCGCCCUUCACCAUGCUUGCAUGGCGGAGAGCGACCGAUGCCCUUGCCACUACACUCCUGGCUUGAGGCGUCGAACCUCU